rnacentral:rRNA from 1 species
AUACGGAGGGUGCAAGCGUUGUGCGGAAUCACUGGGCGUAAAGGGCGCGCAGGCGGUUUGGUAAGUCAGAUGUGAAAGCCCACGGCUCAACCGUGGAAGUGCAUUUGAAACUGCCAGACUUGAGUACCAGAGGGGAAAGUGGAAUUCCCGGUGUAGAGGUGAAAUUCGUAGAUAUCGGGAGGAAUACCGGUGGCGAAGGCGACUUUCUGGCUGGAUACUGACGCUGAGGCGCGAGAGCGUGGGGAGCAAACAGGAUUAGAUACCCUAGUAGUCC